UACGAAGGGGGCUAGCGUUACUCGGAAUUACUGGGCGUAAAGGGCGCGUAGGCGGCGCUCCAAGUUAGGCGUGAAAGUCCUGGGCUCAACCUGGGAACUGCGCUUGAUACUGGAGUGCUUGAGGAUGGAAGAGGGUCGUGGAAUUCCCAGUGUAGAGGCGAAAUUCGUAGAUAUUGGGAAGAACACCGGUGGCGAAGGCGGCGACCUGGUCCAUUACUGACGCUGAGGCGCGACAGCGUGGGGAGCAAACAGGG
rnacentral:rRNA from 1 species